AUUGACCGCUGGCGGCAGGCUUAACACGUGCAAGUCGAGCGGGGAGAUGUAGCUUGCUACAUAUCCUAGCGUCGGACGGGUGAGUAAUGCUUAGGAAUCUGCCUAUUAGUGGGGGACAACAUUCCGAAAGGAAUGCUAAUACCGCAUACGCCCUACGGGGAAAAGCAGGGGAUCUUCGGACCUUGCGCUCAUAGAUGAGCCUAAGCCGGAUUAGCUAGUUGGUGGGGUAAAGGCCUACCAAGGCGAAGAUCUGUAGCGGGUCUGAGAGGAUGAUCCGCCACACUGGGACUGAGACACGGCCCAGACUCCUACGGGAGGCAGCAGUGGGGAAUAUUGGACAAUGGGCGCAAGCCUGAUCCAGCCAUGCCGCGUGUGUGAAGAAGGCCUUUUGGUUGUAAAGCACUUUAAGCGAGGAGGAGGCUCCUUUAGUUAAUACCUAAAGAGAGUGGACGUUACUCGCAGAAUAAGCACCGGCUAACUCUGUGCCAGCCGCCGCCGUAACAC
rnacentral:rRNA from 1 species